AUGUCUAAGGUGUCAAAAGUAGUUUCCAUAUUUGUGAAUCAAUUAUUUACGAAGCUCUCCCUGGUGGCCGCGUUGCUGCUGCUGCUUGGUGUGGCACGUUUGAGGAGAAGGACAAGAAGGAGGACGUGGGCACGUUGGUCUGCGUCAAUCUGGGGACCACCUAGUCCUGCGUCUGCGCGUGGAGAUCAUCGCCAACAAUCAGAGCAACCGCAACACGCCGUCCUAGGUGGCCUUCACUCUUGAAGGGGAGCAUCUGAUCGGCGAUGGCGCCAAGAACCAGCUCACCUCCAACCCCGAGAACACGGUCUUUGACGCCAAGCGGCUCAUCGGCCGCACCUGGAACGACCUGUCUGUGCAGCAGGAUAUCAAGUUCUUGCCGUUCAAGGUAGUUGAAAAGAAAACUAAACCAUACAUUUGAGUUGAUAUUGGAGGUGGGCAAACAAAGACAUUUGCUCCUGAAGAAAUUUCUGCCAUGGUUCUCACUAAAAUGAAAUGAACCGCUGAGGCUUAUUUGAGAAAGAAGGUUACCCAUGCAGUUGUUACCAUACCAGCCUAUUUCAAUGAUGCCCAAUGCCAAGCAACUAAAGACAUUGGAACUAUUGCUGAGCUAAACAUUAUGAGGAUCAUCAAUGAGCCUAUGGCAGCUGCUAUUGCUUAUGGCCUGGAUAAGAGGGAGGGGAAGAAGGCAUCCUGGUGUUCCACCUGGGUGGCAGAACCUUCAAUGUGUCUCUUCUCACCAUUGAUAAUAGCGUCUUCAAAGUUGUGGCCACUAAUGGAGAUACUCAUCUGGGUGGAGAAGACUUUGACCAGUGUGUCAUGGAACACUUCAUCAAGCUGUACACAAAGAACACUGGCAAAGAUGUCAGGAAAGACAACAGAGCUGUGCAGAAACUCCAGAGAGAGGUAGAAAAGGCCAGACAGGCCCUGUCUUCUCAACAUCAAGCAAGAAUUGAAAUUGACUCCUUCUGUGAAGGAGAAGACUUUUCUGAGACCCUGACUCCAGCCAAAUUUGAAGAGCUAAACAUGGAUCUGUUCCAAUCUAUUAUGAAGCCCAUCCAGAAAGUGUUGGAAGAUUCUGAUUUGAAGAAGUCUGAUGUUGAUGAACUUGUUCUUCUUGGUGGCUCUACUCGAAUUCCCAAGAUUCAGCAACUGGUUAAAGAGUUCUUCAAUAGCAAGGAACCAUCCAGUGGCAUAAACCCAGAUGAAGCUGCAGUGCAUUGUGCUUCUGUCCAGGCUGGUGUGCUCUCUGGUGAUCAAGAUACAGGUAACAUGGUGCUGCUUAAUGUAUGUCCCCUUACACUUGGUAUUGAAACUGUGGGAGGUGUCAUGACCAAACUGAUUCCAAGAAACACAGUGGUGUCUACCAAGAAGUCUCAGAUCUUUUCUACAGUUUCUGAUAAUCAACCAUUACAAUCAAGGUCUAUGAAGGUGAAUGACCCCUGAUAAAAGACAAUCAUCUUCUGGGUACAUUUGAUCUGACUGGAAUUCCUCCUGCUCCUCAUGGGGUCCCACAGAUUGAAGUCACCUUUGAGAUAGAUGUGAAUGGUAUUCUUUGAGUCACAGCUGAAGACAAGGGUACAGGGAACAAAAAUAAGAUCACAAUUACCAAUGACCAGAAUCCCCUGACACCUGAAGAAAUCAAAAGGAUGGUUAAUGAUGCUGAGAAGUUUGCUGAGGAAGACACAAAGUUUAAGGAGUGCAUUGAUACUAGAAAUGAGUUGGAAAGCUAUGCCUAUUCUGUAAAGAAUCAGAUUGAAGAGAAAGAAAAGCUGGGAGGUAAACUUUCCUCUGAAGAUAAGGAGACCAUGGAAAAAGCUGUAGAAGAAAAGACUGAAUGGCUGGAAAGCCAUCAAGCUGCUGACAUUGAAGGCUUCAAAACUAAGAAGAAGGAUCUGGAAGAAAUUCUUCAGCCAAUUAUCAGCAAACUCUAUGGAAGUGCAGGCCCUCCCCCAGUAGCAAAGAGGAUACAGCAGAAAAAGAUGAGUUAUAG